rnacentral:lncRNA from 1 species
UGAUCAUAUCUGAAUAAUACUACUCUUGUAGAUAGCACAACAAGAUAGCAUUACCAAAAUAUGCCAUAAACAUCACUAAAUCAACAUCAUACCAAUCACUAUAGCAAGUUUUGUGGAUAGCACAAUAAACUCAUUACAGUUUUUGAUAUACUCUAUUGACCUAGUAUGAGCUAAGUACUAUUAGCUUCAUUAUGCACCAAGAUAAUAUCAAAUCAGUCCCCACAGCAAGCCUUGUGGAUAGCACAACAAGCUUACUAUGGUUCUUGACAUAAUACAGGCUUAGCAUGAAGGAAAGUAUGGGUAGUGUUCUUAGUACUUCGCC